rnacentral:rRNA from 1 species
UACGUAGGAAGCGAGCGUUGUCCGGAAUCACUGGGCGUAAAGCGCGUGUAGGCGGUACGGCAAGUCUGCUGUGAAAGCGCCCGGCUUAACGGGGCGAGGUCGGCGGAAACUGCUGAACUGGAGGACGGUAGAGGGGGGUGGAAUUCCCGGUGUAGUGGUGAAAUGCGUAGAGAUCGGGAGGAACACCUGUGGCGAAGGCGGCCCCCUGGGCCGGGCCUGACGCUGAGACGCGAAGGCGCGGGGAGCGAACGGG